rnacentral:rRNA from 1 species
GUGCCAGCAGCCGCGGUAAUACGUAGGGGGCGAGCGUUGUCCGGAGUUACUGGGCGUAAAGGGCGUGCAGGCGGUUCUCUAAGUUCGGAGUGACAGUUCCCGGCUCAACUGGGGAAGGCCUACCGAAAACUGGAGAACUUGAGGGCCAGAGAGGGACAUAGCAUUCCGGGUGGAGUGGUGAAAUGCGUAGAUAUCCGGAGGAAUACCAAAGGCGAAGGCAGUGUCCUGGCUGGCAUCUGACGCUGAGGCGCGAAAGCUAGGGGAGCGAACAGGAUUAGAUACCCCAGUAGUCC